UAAAGGAGGUUUCGAGUGAAUUUCCCGUCAGCGGCUCCCAGUUUCUGCACGGGAUUUCCACCGCGCGGCUAGUGCAUGUGAUUUUGCAGAAAGCUGCUUUCCGGAAGGAGAGAUCUGUCUAGGUGACACCAUUGCAGUCCUCCCGGCAGCUCUCAAAUUCAGAGGUUUUCAUUCUGAGGGACUGCCCAGGCAGGAAACAUGAUUCGCUACUACCAUCUGUUGGCCAACACAAGUAUUACCAGCCCAGAGACAAACUUAGGGUCAGAACAGGUCCUGCUAACUGCGCAAAUGAACCUGGCUGAGUCACUUCCCAGAGCUGCAAGGCAUGGGUUCCCUCGUCUGUAAAGUAAGGUUAGACUGAGCAUGGGCACCUUGUCUGGGGUCCCUGAACCUGGUUUGUUAAUGAUUUUGAAGACUAUAUCACAAUAGAAUUGGAUUCCUUUUUAA